AGCUUGAUUUUAAAAUGUUGCCAAUUUUUCAUAUAUUCUGUACUGGGAAAAUAAGACUGCAUUUGCAAAAAGAUUUUUUCCCCAUAAUAUGAAGUAGUUGUGGUAAAAGGUCAAAUACGAGUAAACUUAACACCUCAGCCUUGUGCACAUAAGCAACACUUGACUGAGAAAAAAGCCACAAGGGGAACAGAAUACAGUACUGAAGAAAAAACACAUCAGCAACACCUUUAUGUGUGAAGUUGACCAGUAUGAGACAGAAGCAAAAGCAGAAAAUGGUGGCCGAUCUCCCUUGCCGUCUCUUCAACACCCAAGGAAGCACCAAGGUGCCUUGCACUAAAGCCUGGCGUUCUGAAGGGCUGCUCUUCCCUCUGGUGGAAAAUGGUGUAAGUGCACCAACAGGCAUAAUAACUAUGUGAGUGAUCAUCGUCAUCAUCAUCCCGAACUACAAACAUAACAAAGAAGAAACGACCAAUGAUCUUGCUAAAUAACUAUGCCUAGACUUCCAAUGAAAUUAUGUAACUUGAAAUAACACACCUAAGGAGUCUGCAAGAAUAAUUUACUUGUUCAACUAACUGACCCUCAGUUAACUGAAAAUAAAAUAUUUCAUACCUCUGGA